rnacentral:rRNA from 1 species
AGUGAACGCUGGCGGUAGGCCUAACACAUGCAAGUCGAACGACAGCACCGUAAGAGCUUGCUCUUACGGGUGGCGGGUGGCGGACGGGAGAGGAAUGCAUCGGACUCUACUUUUUCGUGGGGGAUCGCGUAGGUAAACUUACGCUCAUACCGCAUACGACCUACGGGUGAAAGCAGUGGAUCUUCGGGCCUUGCGCGAUUGAAUGAGCCGCUGUCGGAUUAGCUAGUUGGCGGGUUAAAGGCCCACCAAGUCGACGAUCCGUAGCUGGUCUGAGAGGAGGGUCGGCCACACGGGAACUGAGACACGGUCCAGAGUACUGCGGGAGGCAGCAGUGGGGAAUAUGGGGCAAUGGGCGCAAGCAUGAUCCAGUGAUACCGAGUGGGUGAAGAAGGCGUUCGGGUCGUAAAGACCUUUUGUUGGGAAAGAAAAGCAGCAGGUUAUUACCCAGCGGUUCUGACGGUACCCAAAGAAUAAGCACCGGCUAACUUCGUG